AUUGAACGCUGGCGGCAGGCCUAACACAUGCAAGUCGCACGAGUGGCGGACGGGUGAGUAAUGUCUGGGAAACUGCCUGAUGGAGGGGGAUCACUACUGGAAACGGUAGCUAAUACCGCAUACCAUCAGAUGUGCCCAGAUGGGAUUAGCUUGUUGGGGGGGGAACGGCUCACCAAGGCGACGCUCCCGAGCUGGUCGGAGAGGAUGACCAGCAACACGGGAAAUGAGACACGGUCCAGACUCCUACGGGAGGCAGCAGUGGGGAAUAUGGCACUAUGGGCGCAAGCCUGAUGCAGCCAUGCCGCUUGUAUGAAGAAGGCCUUCGGGUUGUAAAGGACUUUCAGCGGGGAGGCGUUACCCGCAGAAGAAGCACCGGCUAACUCCGUGCCAGCAGCCGCGGUAAUAC
rnacentral:rRNA from 1 species